AACUCAAGAGCUAGACCCCCACAUUAAAAUUCAAUAUAAAAAUAUAAAUAAACCCUAAUUUACUAAAAAAUUUAAUCAAACCAGUUUUUCCCCCUUAGUAUGAGAGACAGAACAGGACUCCGGAGCAAUAGAAAUAGUACCGCAAGGGAACGCUGAAAGAGAAAUGAAAUAACUCAGUAAAGUUAAGAAAAGCAAAGAUUAACUCUUGUACCUUUUGCAUCAUGGUUUAGCAAGAGACCCCCAAGCAAAAAGAAUUUUAGUUUGUUUACCCGAAACUGGGUGAGCUACUCCAAGACAGCCUAAUAAGUAGGGCAAACCCGUCUCUGUGGCAAAAGAGUGGGAAGAGCUUCGAGUAGAGGUGAUAAACCUACCGAACCCAGUUAUAGCUGGUUACCUGGGAAGUGAAUAGAAGUUCAGCCUCUUAGCUUCUCUAGUCUAAAUAGGCCCACAGCCGUCCACAGACGACAAGAACCUUAGAGAGUUAGUCAGAGGGGGUACAGCCCCUUUGACCCAAGACACAACUUUAAAACGAGGGAUAAAGAUCAAAUUUAGACAAGGCAUAAUGUUUAGGUGGGCCUAAAACGCAGCCACCCCGAAAGAAAACGCGUUAAAGCUUAAACAUAAAAUUCCACCUUUAAUCCCGAUAAUUAUAUCUUAUUCCCCUUUAUUUACCAGGUCAUCCCAUACAUCUAUGGGAGUGAUUAUGCUAAUAUGAGUAAUAAGAGGGCUAAAUAAGCCUUCUCCAUGCACAAGUGUAAUUCGGAACGGACAGACCACCGAAUAUUAACGGCCCCAAACGAAGAGGGCACUAGAAGCCAAAUAGACAACCAGAAAACUUUCUAAUAAUAACCGUUAACCCCACACUGGUGUGCUUCCACGGAAAGACUAAAAGAGGAAGAAGGAACUCGGCAAAACUACCCCAAGCCUCGCCUGUUUACCAAAAACAUCGCCUCUUGCCCACUAUACAUAAGAGGUCCCGCCUGCCCUGUGACUUAAAGUUUAACGGCCGCGGUAGUUUUGACCGUGCAAAGGUAGCGCAAUCACUUGUCGUUUUAAAUGGAGACCUGUAUGAAUGGCACAACGAGGGCUUAACUGUCUCCUUCCUCCAGUCAAUGAAAUUGAUCUACCCCGUGCAGAAGCCGGGGAUACACACAUAAGACGAGAAGACCCUGUGGAGCUUUAGACCCGGGGCAAGACCAUGUUAAAAAUAUCUGAUAAACGACUUGAACUAAUUGGACCCUUCCCUAAUGUCUUUGGUUGGGGCGACCGCGGGGAAACAAAAAACCCCCAUGUGGAAUGGAAACACCCAGUUUUCCAAAACCAAGAGCCACAGCUCUAAGUAACAGAAUUUCUGACCUACAAGAUCCGGCAAAGCCGAUCAACGGACCCAGUUACCCCAGGGAUAACAGCGCAAUCCUCGUUUUAGAGCCCAUAUCGACAAGGGGGUUUACGACCUCGAUGUUGGAUCAGGACAUCCUAAUGGUGCAGCCGCUAUUAAGGGUUCGUUUGUUCAACGAUUAAAGUCCUACGUGAUCUGAGUUCAGACCGGAGUAAUCCAGGUCAGUUUCUAUCUAUGAUAUGGGUUUUUUCCUAGUACGAAAGGACCGGAAGAAAGGGGCCCAUACUAAAAGCACGCCCCACCCUUACCUGCUGAAGACAACUAAAACAGACAAGAGGGAAUACCCGACCGCCUAAGAAAAUGGCAC
rnacentral:rRNA from 1 species